rnacentral:rRNA from 1 species
AUUGAACGCUGGCGGCAGGCAUAACACAUGAAAGUCGAACGAGUGGCGGACGGGUGAGUAAUUUCUGGGAAACUGCCUGAUGGAGGGGGAUAACUACUGGAAACGGUAGAUAAUACCGCAUAACAUCAGAUGUACCCAUGUGGGAUUAGCUAGUUGGUGGGGUAACGGCUCACCAAGGCGACGAUCCCUAGCGGGUCUGAGAGGAUGACCAGCCACACUGUAACUGGGACACGGUCCAGACUCCUACGGGAGGCAGCAGUGGGUAAUAUUGCACAAUGGGCUCAAGCCUGAUGCAGCCAUGCCGCGGGUAUGAAGAAGGCCUUCGGGUUGUAAAGUACUUUCAGCGGGGAGGCGUUACCCGCAGAAGAAGCACCGGCUAACUCCGUGCCAGCAGCCGCGGUAAUUC